UACGAAGGGGGCUAGCGUUGUUCGGAAUUACUGGGCGUAAAGGGCGCGUAGGCGGCCGAUCAAGUCAGGCGUGAAAUUCCCGGGCUCAACCCGGGGGCUGCGCUUGAUACUGAUUGGCUUGAAUGCGGGAGAGGAUAGUGGAAUUCCCAGUGUAGAGGUGAAAUUCGUAGAUAUUGGGAAGAACACCAGUGGCGAAGGCGGCUAUCUGGCCCGUGAUUGACGCUGAGGCGCGAAAGCGUGGGGAGCAAACAGG
rnacentral:rRNA from 1 species